UAAAUUAUAUUUUACCUAUAAAAUAUAAAUAUAAGGAACUAGGAAAAAUAAAUAUAUUCACCUGUUAAUCAAAAACAUGUCUUAUUGAAAAUAAUUUUAAGUCAAUCUGCCCAGUGAAUAAAUUAAAUGGCUGAAGUAUAACUGACUGUACAAAGGUAGCAUAAUCAAUUGAUUUUUAAAUGAAAUCUGGAAUAGAUAGGAAGAA